AUGGCACUAGUAGCCCUCCUCGUCCUGGCAGCCUCGCUGGCCUGGCCGGCGUCGAGCCAGCCUCUGCCGGUGCUUGUUCCGGUGACCAAGGACCCCGCCACCUCCCUCUACACGCUCCCAUUCCACAGCGGCGCCAACCUCGUCGUCGACAUCGCCGGCCCGCUCGUCUGGUCCACGUGCCAGCCCGGCCAUCUGCCGGCCAAGUUCCCCUGCACGUUCCCCACCUGCCGCCUCGCCAACGCCUACCCCGUCCCGGGCUGCCACGAGCCAGGCUGCGAGCAGGACAGGCGCAAGGACGGCACGUGCACGGCGUACACGAACAACCCGGUCACCGGCGUGUGCGCCUCCGGGAGCCUCGACCGUACCAGGUUCGUGGCCAACACCACCAACGGGAGUAACCCGGUGAGCCAGGUGAGCGUGAGGGCAGUGGCGGCGUGCGCGCCGGAGACGCUGCUGGCGUCCCUGCCGCGGGGCUCCACGGGCGUGGCCGGGCUCGCGGGCUCCGGCCUGGCGCUGCCGGCGCUCGUGGCGUCCGCGCAGAAGGUCGCCAAUAAGUUCCUUCUCUGCCUCCCCCGCCUCGGCGAAGGCAACGGCGUGGCCAUCUUCGGCGGCGGCCCGCUCCAGCUCACCGCGCAGCCGGGGGUGGACUACACACAGGAGCUGGUCUACACGCCGCUGGUCGCCAAGCAGGGCAACCCCGCGCACUACGUCUCGGUGGAGUCCAUAGCCGUGGAGGGCGCCCGCGUGCCCGUCCCUGCGCGCGCGCUCGCCACCGGCGGCGUGGUACUCAGCACUAAGGUGCACUUCACCUUGCUCCGACGCGACGUGUACCGCCCGUUCGUGGACGCGUUCGCCAAGGCCCUGGUGCAGCAGGGUGCGCAGGGCGGCCCCGUGGCGCGCGCGGUGAAUCCCGUGGCGCCGUUCGAGCUGUGCUACGACACGCGGUCGCUCGCCAACACGCGGACCGGGUACUGGGUGCCGCGCAUCAGUCUGGCGCUCGAGGGCGGGGUGAACUACUCGAUGAACGGCUUGCUCUCGAUGGUGAAUGUGCAGGGGGGCGCGGCGUGCCUUGCGUUCACGGAGAUGAAGGGGGUGAAGGCCGGGGACGGCAGCGCGCCGGCGGUGAUCAUCGGAGGGUUCCAGAUGGAGAACGUGGUGCUGGAGUUCGACAUGGAGAAGAAGCGGCUCGGGUUCUUCAGGCUGCCGUUCUUCACGCGGUGUGGCCACUUCAACUUCACCCGGACCGGCUAG
rnacentral:rRNA from 1 species